AGAUUUGCUUAGUGGUAGUAUCAUAGCCAAAGGAAUGAUUAUUGCUAAUUGAAAACUUUUCCCAAUACCCUGCCAUGAUGACUUGAAAUAUAGUCAGCACUGGCAAUUUUGAGUCUCUAUGGAA
ensembl:snRNA U4 U4 spliceosomal RNA